GUCCAUCUGAUGAGUCCCAAGUAAGACGAAAUGCGCGUCCUAGAU
rfam:Schistosoma margrebowiei strain Zambia genome assembly, scaffold: SMRZ_scaffold0002423